CCUACGGGAGGCUGCAGUGAGGAAUAUUGGACAAUGGGCGUAAGCCUGAACCAGCCAAGUCGCGUGAGGGAUGAAGGUUCUAUGGAUCGUAAACCUCUUUUAUAGGGGAAUAAAGUGUGGGACGUGUCCUAUUUUGUAUGUACCUUAUGAAUAAGGAACGGCUAACUCCGUGCCAGCAGCCGCGGUAAUACGGAGGAUCCGAGCGUUAUUCGGAUUUAUUGGGUUUAAAGGGUGCGUAGGCGGCCUUUUAAGUCAGGGGUGAAAGUCUGUGGCUCAACCAUAGAAUUGCCGUUGAAACUGGGGGGCUUGAGUAUGUUAGAGGCAGGCGGAAUGCGUGGUGUAGCGGUGAAAUGCGUAGAUAUCACGCAGAACCCCGAUGGCGAAGGCAGCCUGCCAAGCCAUGACUGACGCUGAUGCACGAAAGCGUGGGGAUCAAACAGGAUUAGAUACCCGGGUAGUC
rnacentral:rRNA from 1 species